AGAAAGAAAGAGGAGAGAAUGAAAGCCUAAGAACUGUAUCUGUCCAGAUGGUAGCAGCUGACUGAGCUUGUUGGAAGUCCCCGGAUGUCCUCACAGAACUUACACCAAGGCAGAGUAUGGCGGAAGCUCUGCACUGCUGAGCUGUCAGUGAUCACCAACAGCUGACUAUGAAGAGACUUUGGACCCCUGUUCAGGAGUUUCCAAUGCCCAGGACCAGUCAAAGACACAUGCUAAAAACCUGAAGCCGUGCCAAAAUCCCUGUAUCUUUUCAUAAACCAAAAACUCUAAAUAGAAGUCUAUCUGUUAUGUUCAAAAAACAAAACAAAACAAUGGCCAUAGCAAAACUCUGUCUUAUUAUGUCACCUGCCUUUAAUGUCAGUUCCCUUGAAGAUUACAAGUUUGAUGUUUUGCCUGGAGCAUAUUCCUCCCUGCUGGAUCUGUGCUAUACUCUCAGCAACUAGCCACAAUCAUAAAACUAAAAGAAGUGAUGGUUCCAUUUUUAUUGUGAGAAGUAAAAUUUGUUUCUAAUUAUUGAGCUAAAACCUUAAGACCCUUCUAAAAAGCCACUAGACUGAAUACUAUAUUUAAACUUUUGUAACAUUCAUAUGAUUACAGACUUCAGAAAUCUCACUAUUUUUCAUUCUGUCUUGCAUAUGUUAAAUGACAGUAAAAACCAACUAGGUAAACAUUGUUGACAAACCAAGGUACGUUCAGCCUUGCUCAGGUUCUGCAGUCCUUGCAGAUGUGACUUAAGACCUUCCACGCCAUCAAAGAACUUGUGCUCUGUUGAGAAGCAAAGAAGAAUGGUAUGAAACAGUCACAUGUCUCAUUUCUCAGUUCUAAGGUAACCUCUCUUUGUGCUAUUUGAUUGGAUCCAUCUCUACCUUUGUUAUCGUCUCUUAUGAUAUGCUUCUUACAUCUUUCAGUGCACUUAGCACUGUUUGUGAUUGUAUAUUGGCGUCUUUAGUUAUUGCCUGUUGUCCUUACGGCAGGCUGUCUGAUUUAUCCAUUGAUAUGUAACCCAUGCUUAGCAUAAGGGUCAGCAUUGGUCGUCACUAUUCAAUGAUGAGGAGUUAAUGAAUCAGUGAAGGAAAGAAUGCAUAAAUACACUUGAGCAAGAUGCAUAGUUUGUUGUUGCUUUGAGGAUCCGGUGUGUUUGGUGAGAAGAAAAAGGCAGCCAGCUAAGCGGAUAUGAAAGAGCUGUGUGUGUUUGACCCUCCCUUUCUACCACCCAGCAUGACCAGGAGCCUGGUCAGUUCUAGAGACACAAGUUCACACUUGGAGGAACAGAGAUGAGAUGUUAGCCUCCCCGCUGCUGUUGAAUCCGGGUUCCUGAAGGUGGCUCUUAAAGAGUUAAAAGAGUAUUACAAGAUCUUCUUAGUACCAUGAAGGCACUUGGAAUAGCAGACAACCUGAGAAGCCGAACAACAGAGGAUAGAUAUAUGGGAAACAGACACCAGAGGUUGGGGUGGACAAGGAAGAGAUGCGCUAUGGAGGGUUGGAAUUUGGUUCUGGUGAGCCCUUCACCAGGCAUCAAUUGGAAAAAUCGAGGCUAUUGACUACCAUGACAGCUUGAAAGUGUGCCUUUCAGGCCCUCCUCAUGUUGCCAUCACAGCCAACCUGGACUGGGGAGGAAUGUGGAAGAGGAUACUUGAAAAUCACUCAUAGUCAAGAUCUGGAAGAGGUGCACACCCUGUCUACUAAUGUACCAAAGAAGAGAUUUGAAACAUCUGGAGUAUCUACUAUAGUGUGACUGGAUGGCCAUAGAAAUGAGGAUGGAUUACAGUGGGUGGCUACGACUGUAACUGUGACCUUUUUAUUUGUUUUGUUAUUUGGUGAUAGAAAGAUGAUUCUCAAAGAGAAAAAAAUAAGUCUCAUUUUAUUUAUUACAGGUCCUACGCACUAAACUGUCGCAUUUACAAAACCUUAAGUCACCUGACUCAUAGGGGUGUUCUUCACUGACGUUUUCUACCAAUGUUAGCUUUCCCACACUAUAAGUCAAGCUGCAUGACAUUUUUCAUGGAUACAGAACAUCCAAAUUCAGGUGAUAGCAGCUUGCAAUUAUCUAUCAGGGAUUGUCAAUUUAGUCCUACCCCUAAGUUUCUGUAAUGGGCCCUGAGAGUUCACAUUUCUAACAAGAUUCAGGAGACACCAACUCCUCUGGUUGAGGACCAAAGUGCCAGAGCUUUGGCUCAGCUGUUGGCCUUUUCUCUCCUUACUUUCUUCCCUGCUUUCUUUCUUUCUUUUUUCUUUUUAUUUAUUUAUUAUUUAUUUUCUAUUAUUAGCUUGAUACAGUACAAAUUCUUAUCCAAAUAGUGAAAUGUUUCACUGAGGCUUGCCCAAUGAUUGAGUAAAGCCGAAACUUAUUAUAAGCCACAGUCAUCCUAGGGUCCCCCCUGCUAUAUAACCUCCCUGCUUCUGUGGUUUGCAUUCUGAUUGUUCUUUGCUUUAUAUCUAGAAUCUACUUAUGAGUGAGUACAUACCAUGUUUGUCCUUCUGGGUUUGGGUUACCUCACUCAGGAUGAUAUUUUCUAGUUCUAUCCAUUUGCCUGCAAAUUUAAUGAUGUCAUUGUUUUUCUCUGCUGAGUAGUACUCCGUUGUGUAUAUGUACCACAUUUUCUUAAUCCAUUCUUCAGUUGACGGGCAUCUAGGUUGUUUCCAGGUUCUGAUUAUCACGAAUUGUGCUGCUAUGAACAUAGUUGAACAUGUAUCUUUGUGGUAUGAUUGAGCAUUCCUUGGGUAUAUGUCCAAGAAUGGUAUGGCUGGGUCUUGAGGUAGAUCGAUUCCCAAUUUUCUGAGAAACCACCAUACUGAUUUCCACAGUGGUUGUAUAAGUUUGCAUUCCCACCAACAGUGGAGGAGUGUUCCCUUUGCUCCGCAUCCUUUCCAACAUUGACUGUCAUUAGUGUUUUUGAUCAUGGCCAUUCUAACAGGUGUAAGGUGGUAUCUCAGAGUUGUUUUGAUUUGCAUUUCUCUGAUGACUAAGGAUGUUGAGCAUUUCUUUAAACUCAAGUCCAAGUGGAUCAAAGACCUCAACAUAAAUCCAGUUACACUGAACUUGAUAGACGAGAAAGUAGGAAAUACUCUUGAAUGCAUUGGCACAGGAGAUCAUUUCCUAAAUAUAACACCAGUAGCACAGACACUGAGAGCAACAAUUAAUAAAUGGGACCUUUUGAAACUGAGAAGCUUUUGUAGGGCAAAAGACAUGGUCAAUAAGACCAAAAGACAGCCUACAAAAUAGGAAAAGACCUUUCACCAACCCCACAUCUGACAGAGGACUGAUCUCCAAAGUAUAUAAAGAACUCAAGAAACUAGACAUCAAAAUACUGAAAAAUCCAAUUAAAAAAUGGGGGCUAAAGAGCUAAACAGAAAAUUCUCAAAAGAAGAAUUUCAAAUGGCUGAAAGAGAUUUUUUUUUUUCUGAGACAGGGUUUCUUUAUGUAGUUUUGGUGCAUGUCCUGGAUCUCGCUCUGUAGACCAGGCUGGCCUCGAACUCACAGAGAUCCUCCUGGCUCUGCCUCCCAAGUGCUGUGAUUAUCAGCUCUUCCCGGCUUUCUUAUUGCAAGGCGAACUUCCUCUGAACCCAAGAGGACUUGGAAGGUGUCUGCCACCUUCCAUCCCCGAAGUAGAAGGCCUUCGGAGCUGGUAAAUGCUUUUCUAUCAUGCAUUGCUUCAGAACUGUCCUCUUCAGUCUGAUUUAAAUGGCAGAGAAAAGGAGAGCUGGUUUGUGGCCUUUCCAGAGAGACACUCCCUCCUGCUAGCCUAGUCUGUGUUGCUUGCGUUUUCUUGUCACAGUCUCGGAAGUCAGGCCUUCCUGUUUAAACAUCUGGCUUCCACGUGAUAUUUAAACAGGCUUCCCUGAAGCCCACCGACCGAGCUACUCCCAGCUCUCUGAGAAAGCAGACUCUCGCUGGCAGCUCUGCCUUGUCUAUCAAGCCACUAGCUUUGAUCCAAGCUUCUAUGGGAUUUUGUGAAAUGUUUAAAAACUAGCAACUGAACAGUCUUUGAGGUACAGAGAAGACUGGUGUGUGGAUGAAUAUUUUUCGGGUUUGACAUCUUGGGCUUCAUCAUUUGAUAAAUUGUGCCUUUUGUUGGUCACGACACGUUGUCUGUGCAACCCAAGCUUUAUCCAUAUUUACGAUUUUUAAGUUUUUUUUUUUUCUUCUUCCCAAAUGGAGUUACCUCAAGGCAAAAGGAGUCUCUGUGAACCACUUUCUAUUCUUUGGCCCAAUUUGUCCACUUACUUCUUUUGGAGAUUCGCUGUCAAACACUACAGGUGCUCACGUGCCUGGGGCCAGAAAGUACAAAAUAGAUUUCAUACGGCAGCUUCAAGUCUUCUGGGUAAUUAACUCAGCAUGCUUCAGCUGGAUUCGUACCAAGUGCUUGUUUGCCCAUGCCGAGAGAAAUAAUACAUUGUUGCUCUCCUCAGCAUCUCGAAAAUACUUCGCAAACAUUAAUUAAUGCUUAUCUCCCGUCCCAUCAUCCCCCAUUUCCAGAUGAGGAAACUGAGUGUUUGGAGCCAACAAAGAAAUUUACUGCUGUGUUUCCGCUGGGCUCAGUGGAGAGUGGAGCACAACAUGGGAUGUUGCCCUUUAACCUUGGGGUCAUACUCUUUCCUGCUGAGGUGGCAGCUGACACCGUGCAUCAAGUUGGGUCCUCACCGAAACCUCGACUGAAAAUGAUGACUGCAAGUGGAAACGUAGGAAAGAUGCCCAGCUGAGCUUCAUGUGGAUAAACCCAGAAAAUACUGUGUGUGUGCUUCUGUGUAUUCCUCUGAGCAUGUGUGGCUUGUGUGUGCGCGCAUGCGCAUACUUAUGCAUAUGCUUCUGAGCAGGUAUCUCAUUGCUGACAUCGAACGAUCUUGCUUAGGCAACGUUUUUAAGAGUUAAUUUGCUAGCAGGGUGUGGGGGUGUGUCUUUAAUUCCAGCAGUCGGGAGGCAGAGGCACUUGGAUCUCUAUGAAUCCCAGGCCAGCCUGUCCACACAGUGAGCUGCAGGCCAGCCAGGGCAACUUAGUGAGACCCUGUCUUAAACAAAAGGUUAAUUUGUUCUGUGGAGAGAAUGACCAGUGGAGAAAAGAUACGUUGCUUCCUUUCGUGUCGGGCCAUGAGAUACUAAGAAACAGAAGUUCAUGCAGCACCCAGGGAAAGGCUUACACCUCAAAUCGGCUUCCCAAAGGCCUAGGAGUUCCUCAGGUCUGUAGUUGAGCUGUGACUGGACCCAACCUCACAGCUGGUGCUCCACACAGCCCAGCAGCAGCACAGCCUGGGCUGCUCACUGUCUGCCUGCAAAUCAGCUCUGACACUUGGCCUGCAAGGGCCUCGGUGGCAGCCCCAGAGGGAACUCCAGCUCCUUUUAGUGUGGGCCCAACCAAUGGGUCCUUCUUUCAUGGAGACCUGGGCACCUGCUCACCCGGCUUCCCCAGUUUCAGUCCAAAAUAUGGUCUAGUGCUGGAGUCUGCCUGAGCUCUCCACACAAUGUACCCAACCUAUGCUUCCUAGUUUUGAUUCUCAAGACUCAGGCCCUUAGUGCUGGAAAUGUAAAUAGCAGUGCUGGGAAUGAUUAUAUUUACUUUAAUUGAGAUGUUUUAAAAAUGGCAAAGAAAUGACCGAAUACUGAAACUCGGAAUUGAAAACUAAGUGUGUUGUAUGAAGUACCCAUAGAAGCAUAGUUUACCUUUAGUUAACAUUUUAGAUGUCUAUAUAUAAAUGCACAGGCUUCUGCUUUACUACAGCCUGAUCCCUUUUGCUUUUGCCUCUGAUUUGGGUUCCCCCUUCUGCAACAUAGGUUGUUCUUGUAUGACAAGGGGAUGUUGUGUCUUAACUACUUCCAUAUUAUUAUCCUUUAGUGUGUUUUCACGUGACUGUGUUCAUCAGAAUUAUCUAGAAAUCUCGUUAGGCUAAAAAAAUGUGUGUAUGUAUAUAUAGAUGUGUGUGUAUGUAGAUGUAUAGAUGUAUAUAUGUGUAUAUAUGUACACACAUAAGUAUUUUUUUUCCUGGUCCCCAAGUCUCAAGAGGUGCAGAUCUUUUAAGUCUGGGAUGGGCUUAUGUGUGGCUAUGUUUUCAACAGACCUGUCUAGGUUGUAUUAAAAUACGAGAAACACUGCUUUCAUUUUGCACUGGAAACAUCUGUGAAAUGAUGUUUUUGGGAUCUCUCAGAUAAGCCCUAUGAACAGACUUGGUUGCUUACCUUCUCUCAAAGCUUGCUUUCUAGCUGCAUGUCCUGCCUGGCCUAGGAUCUGUUUCUAUUCCUGUGUUUCCCUGCAGGCUAAGGGGGAAAAGAAUCUGCACCCAGCAGGAAAUAUAACUUUCAGACAGAGGUUCUAAUUAAAAAGAAAUCUCUUUAUUGCACACGGUCAACUCUUAUACUAUUAAGAACCCCUUGGGGGUAAUUAUUGGAUUUUUAAUUUUUAUUGUUUUAACAUUAAGAAUGGUAUGCUUCUGAUAGCUCAGAUUUUAGGAAAUUUAAUAGUUAUCAUUAAUCAGAAAGAGGAUGUCUCCAGUGUAAGCUAUGUAAUCACUGAAUAUUUAAACUCAGAAUUGAAAAUGAGGUGUGUUGCAUAGGGUAUCGACAUAAGCAUAGUUUGCAUUCACUUAGCGUUUUAGAUGUCUGUAUAUAAUGUGCAUGCAUAUAUUCAGUGUGGCUAUUCAUUCGAUUCCAGAUACUGAUAAAUUCCGGGCUAUAUACAUGAAAAUAAAAUGGCAGUCCGAAUUCAAGAAAUUCUGUUUUUGCCAUUAUUAUCAUCUGAUUCAUUUUGUUCUCAUUGUUCUUUAUUGAAGCUCACCAUUUAUAAUUACCACUUGUAAUCCAGUUCUAUACUCUGUUAUCAUCUUCUAGCCCUUUAAUUCUGAGAAUCUGCCGAACAGUCGGCUGCCAUGAAACAACGAGAAAUGUCUGCUCAGUGGUAAGCAGAAUUGUUUAAAGGCUCCUAAUGCCACACCCUAUAGACAUCACAUGUCAUCAAAAGAUGGCUUAUCUACAUGCCAAAUCAAGUUCAUGUUUUCCUCCGUCCGCCCUCUUUGAGAUAAGGUCUUCCUGUGAGUCCAAGGCGGCCUGAAAUUCUUGAUCCUCUUUUCUUAGCCCCCCAACUGUUAGAGUAUGGGCAUGUGCCCCUAGGCCUGGCUCCCCACUACUUCUGUUAAUAAAUAGUGUUUUAUCAAAGCAUAGCCAUGCAUCUUUGCUGUGGGAUGUUCUGUAUGGCAAAUGUGUUGCUAAUUAGUCAAUAAAUAAAACACUGAUUGGCCAUUGGCUAGGCAGGAAGUGUAGGCGGGACAAGGAGGAGAAUAAAGCUGGGAAGUGGAAGGCUGAGUCAGAGAGACACUGCCAGCCGCCAUGAUGAGAAAUAGCAUGUGAAGAUGCUGGUAAGCCACGAGCCACAUGGCAAGGUAUAGAUUUAUAAAAGUGGAUUAAUUUAAGCUGUAAGAACAGUUAGCAAGAAGCCUGCCACGGCCAUACAGUUUGUAAGCAAUAUAAGUCUCUGUGAUUACUUGGUCGGGUCUGAGCGGCUGUGGGACUGGCAGGUGACAGAGAUUUAUCCUGACUGUGGGCCAGGCAGGAAAACUCUAGCUACAAAUGGUGCCCAACGUGGGGCAAGAGUUUCCACCUAAAAACUGAGAAAAAAGAUUCUAAAACAGAGCUAAAAACAGUUCCUAAUUGUCUCUCUCAAAUGAGCGGCAGCUGCUGGUUUGAGCUACUGGCAGGUUCCUGGCGUGCUCGCUCGACCUGCAGUAUGGCGGGAAUGAGUGCUUUGCAAGUGGCACAUUAAGCUGCAUGGUGGAUUUAGCCUUUGCAGGUACAAAACAAAAAAAGAGGUUUCUGGGCUACACGGUGCUUAAAUAAAAGCAUAGACCCACGAUAGCUCCCAGAGCUGACAGUAAAUCACCACCAUGUUGGGAAGCUGAGGUGGGCGGAGCCAGCAGUCACAGUUGCUGCAGUUUAAAGCAAUAGAUUUCACAAUAAGACAGAUUCAGAUGUAAUAGUUUACAAUGUGUGUAAAAUAUACGUAGGCUUGAAAGAGACAAAAAAGGUGAUAUAUGGUGAUAUAUAGAGUUAUAUAAACAAAUACAUAGCUUUAAAAAAUAAAGUCUUUAAAGAGACAGUAAUAUUAAUAUAAAAAAUAAGCCACGUAAAGAUGAAUAUUACACAGAGAAUCUGGAUUGUGUUGUCUCUGGAAUU